rnacentral:misc_RNA from 1 species
CUUGUACCAGGUAAACAAACAGAUAAACUGGUUCCUUGUAUCAGGCCGGCAUUGAUAAGCAUGGAAGACCUGUAAUAGUUUUCAUUGGAAAAUGGUUUAAGCCUGGUAGCGUGGAUAUGGAGAAAGCUUUGCUGUAUCUAAUUAGAAUUCUGGAUUCUGUUGCGGACAAGGACUAUUCUGUUGUUUUCUUCUGCACACGGACUGGAACUGAUAAUUAUCUGUCGUACUGGUGGAUUAAAGAUAUUUAUGUAAAACUACCAUAUCAUUACAAAAAGAAUCUCAAAGAUUUCUACAUCGUACACCCAUCAAUGUGGACCCGGUUGACCACGUGGUGGUUCUCAACAUUCAUGGCGCCCGUCAUCAAGCAUAAGAUUCAUAAUGUCUACGCGGUUACAGAACUGGAUUCAAUUAUCCACUCUACGCAGUUCGAUAUUCCCAUGUUUAUUCAGGAAUAUGAUAUGAGCAUCAACGGAUUGAGAUACUAUCAACCUUAACAGCUGACCACUUAGAGAUCAGCUGAUCACCUGGAGAUCAGCUGAACUUUUGGAGAUCAAAUCAACAAAAUCAAUCGCGCCCAAUCGUCUUGAUCAAUUGAUACCGAAUCAAAUUCUCACAUUACUUCUGAAUUGAUUGAUCAAAUGGAAUCAAAUUAUCAAAUAUUUUGGUUCUUUAAAAGUUUACCGGAUCCUGUAACACUCACUUACUUGCUUAUUUACACAUUAAUGUUGCCGUAGACAAUUCUUAGAAAAAAGCCUAAUAUAUUGAGCAUAUAUUAUAAAACACAUUAAACAGUAUUUUAUGAGACACUAAUUAUAGAAAGAACCUUCGUAGCUCUUCCUAAAAUCCCUUAAAUCGACCAAAUUGGAGAGCAGAAAUUUGUACAUUUUUAAAUCAAACAAAAAUAUAAUA